UCACCGCCCUUCGGGAUUUACAUCUUGCUUUCGCUUUCGUUUUCGUUUAAAUCGCAACCAAUAACCUCUGUUUUCUUUUUUGUCCUAAAUAAAAAUAACGAUUAAUGACAUUUCAUCUGAAUAAAUAUUUCGAGUUUUCAUUAUUCGAAAUUUAAAUUCGAAUCUACUUUGGUGACGUGAAUACAUUUUAUGACGGUGUUUUUUAAAGAGGCAGGAAGAGACAGACUGCGUCGGCUUACAACAGAUCAACAAGACCGUCUAUUUGAAAUAAACGACAGAUGAAAAUAUGAGAGGCUGUUUUGGGCUCACACUGUUUGUUUUUCUCAUUGAUGGUGCGUUUGGUGAUGAUGUGGUGACAGUGUCAGUGAAGGAGGGAGAUUCAGUCACUCUAAACACUGGUGUCACCAAACAACAACAUGACAAGAUACUGUGGUAUUUGAAGACACUCGCAUAGCUCUGAUCAACGGACAUGCCAAUACGAGCUGCUUAUAUGAUGGUGAAGGCGGGAGAUUCAGAGACAGACUGAAGGUGGACUAUGGGACUGGAUCUCUGACCAUCACAGACAUCAGAUCUGAACACGCUGGACGUUAUGAAGUAGAAAUAAUCAGAGCGAAAGUUCAGGCAAAAGGCAAAGCUUAAACCGAAACCGCAAAUGUGACAGCACAAAAAUCACAAGAAAGAUCAGCAGCACUCGUGAUGACAGCAUCAAAACAUUCAGUGUGAUCAUCACUGCUUCUCUGUCCUCUCUGUCUGAUCAAGACGAAACCAAUGAAGUUCCUCGUAUGGCCAAGCAGGAGUUUGACUUGAAUUCAGGUCUGUCUUCAGCUGUUUUAGCAGGAAUAGUUGCUGUUGUUCUGCUGCUGGUGUGUGCAGUUGCUGCUACUGUGAUUUUCUAUCGCCACAGGAGCAUUAAAAUGGCA